rnacentral:rRNA from 1 species
GGGGGAAUAUUGGACAAUGGGCGCAAGCCUGAUCCAGCCAUGCCGCGUGAGUGAUGAAGGCCCUAGGGUUGUAAAGCUCUUUCACCGGUGAAGAUAAUGACGGUAACCGGAGAAGAAGCCCCGGCUAACUUCGUGCCAGCAGCCGCGGUAAUACGAAGGGGGCUAGCGUUGUUCGGAUUUACUGGGCGUAAAGCGCACGUAGGCGGACUUUUAAGUCAGGGGUGAAAUCCCGGGGCUCAACCCCGGAACUGCCUUUGAUACUGGAAGUCUUGAGUAUGGUAGAGGUGGGUGGAAUUCCGGGUGUAGAGGUGAAAUUCGUAGAUAUUCGGAGGAACACCAGUGGCGAAGGCGGCUCACUGGACGAUUACUAACGCUGAGGUGCGAAGGCGUGGGGAGCAAACAGG